rnacentral:rRNA from 1 species
GGAGGAGGCAAGCGUUGUCCGGAAUUAUUGGGGCGUAAAGAGCGCGUAGGCUGUUUUUCAAGUCAUAUGUGAAAACCUCAGGGCUUAACUUGAGGACUGCAUAUGAAACUGGAAAACUUGAGUGCAGUAGGGGAAAGUGGAAUUCCUGGUGUAGCGGUGAAAUGCGCAGAUAUCAGGAAGAACACCGGUAGCGAAGGCGGCUUUCUGGGCUGCUACUGACGCUGAGGCGCGAAAGCUAGGGGAGCAAACAGGAUUAGAUACCCUGGUAGUCCUAGCUGUAAACGAUGGACACUAGGUGUGGGAAGUUAUCGACGCUUUCCGUGCCGGAGCUAACGCAUUAAGUGUCCCGCCUGGGGAGUACGGCCGCAAGGCUA